UACGGGAGGCAGCAGUGGGGAAUAUUGCACAAUGGGCGAAAGCCUGAUGCAGCUAUGCCGCGUGUAUGAAGAAGGCCUUAGGGUUGUAAAGUACUUUCAUCGGGGAGGAAAAAACAAAACUAAUAAUUUUAUUUCUUGACGUUACCCGAAAAAGAAGCACCGGCUAACUCCGUGCCAGCAGCCGCGGUAAUACGGAGGGUGCUAGCGUUAAUCAGAAUUACUGGGCGUAAAGAGCACGUAGGUGGUUUUUUUAAGUCAGAUGUGAAAUCCCUGGGCUUAACCUGGAACUGCAUUUUGAAACUGAAAUACUAGAGUAUCGUAGAGGGAGGUAGAAUUCUAGGUGUAGCGGUGAAAUGCGUAGAUAUCUGGAGGAAUACCUGUGGCGAAAGCGGCCUCCUAAACGAAUACUGACACUGAGGGUGCGAAAGCGUGGGGAGCGAAACAGGGAUUAGAUACCCGU
rnacentral:rRNA from 1 species